UUGUUGGGUUUCCAACAAUUUUUACCAUCGCUUUAUUUUGUCAAUAUUACUUAAUAAGGUUUAGUUUUUUUAGUUUAAAUUUUUAUGGAAGAUACAUUGAUUGAUCUAAAAGGACUGAGCAUAAUGAACUGGGAUGCAAAAUAGCUGGGACUAUAAUUUGAGAAAUUCUCUACCUGCUAUUGAAGGUUUUGUCAAAAUCGGUGGGCUGUUUCAGUUUAUUGGAAACCAGUACAAAAGACAGACAAAGAAAAAACCAUCUCCUAUUAUAAUUUUUUUUUGGCAAAUGUUAAAACAUUUAUAUCCAUAUUCGUAGUUAGUAAAUUGAAUUCAGAUUUGAA